rnacentral:rRNA from 1 species
ACCCGCUGAACUUAAGCAUAUCAAUAAGCGGAGGAAAAGAAACCAACAGGGAUUGCCCUAGUAACGGCGAGUGAAGCGGCAACAGCUCAAAUUUGAAAUCUGGCUCUUUCAGAGUCCGAGUUGUAAUUUGUAGAGGGUGCUUUGGCGUUGACUGUGGUCUAAGUUCCUUGGAACAGGACGUCGCAGAGGGUGAGAAUCCCGUAUGUGGCCGCCAGUCUUCGCCGUGUAAAGCCCCUUCGACGAGUCGAGUUGUUUGGGAAUGCAGCUCUAAAUGGGAGGUAAAUUUCUUCUAAAGCUAAAUAUUGGCCAGAGACCGAUAGCGCACAAGUAGAGUGAUCGAAAGAUGAAAAGCACUUUGGAAAGAGAGUCAAAAAGCACGUGAAAUUGUUGAAAGGGAAGCGCUUGCAGCCAGACUUGCCUGUAGUUGCUCAUCCGGGCUUUUGCCCGGUGCACUCUUCUAUAGGCAGGCCAGCAUCAGUCCUGGCGGUUGGAUAAAUGUCUGCACAAUGUACCUCUCCUCGGGGAGGACUUAUAGGGCAGGCGGCAUACAACCAGCCGGGAUUGAGGUCCGCGCAUCUGCUAGGAUGCUGGCGUAAUGGCUGUAAGCGGCCCGUCUUGAAACACGG